CAGUAGCCGCGGUAAUACGUAGGUGGCAGGCGUUGUCCGGAAUUAUUGGGCGUAAAGGGCUCGCAGGUGGUUUCUUAAGUCUGAUGUGAAAGCCCCCGGCUCAACCGGGGAGGGUCAUUGGAAACUGGGAAACUUGAGUGCAGAAGAGGAGAGUGGAAUUCCACGUGUAGCGGUGAAAUGCGUAGAGAUGUGGAGGAACACCAGUGGCGAAGGCGACUCUCUGGUCUGUAACUGACGCUGAGGAGCGAAAGCGUGGGGAGCGAACAGGAUUAGAUACCCCCGUAGUCCCUGUCUCUUAUAC
rnacentral:rRNA from 1 species